rnacentral:misc_RNA from 1 species
GAUGAAGAACGCAGCGAAAUGCGAUAAGUAGUGUGAAUUGCUGAAUUCAGUGAAUCAUCGAAUCUUUGAACGCACAUUGCGCCCCUUGGUAUUCCAUGGGGCAUGCCUGUUCGAGCGUCAUUUGUACCUUCAAGCUCUGCUUGGUGUUGGGUGUUUGUCUCGCCUCUGCGUGUAGACUCGCCUCAAAACAAUUGGCAGCCGGCGUAUUGAUUUCGGAGCGCAGUACAUCUCGCGCUUUGCACUCAUAACGACGACGUCCAAAAGUACAUUUUUACACUCUUGACCUCGGAUCAGGUAGGGAUACCCGCUGAACUUAAGCAUAUCAAUAAGCGGAGGA